rnacentral:rRNA from 1 species
GUUGUCCGGAAUCACUGGGCGUAAAGCGCGUGUAGGCGGAUGACUAAGUUUGCUGUGAAAGCGCCUGGCUUAACCGGGCGAGGUCGGCGAAAACUAGUCGUCUGGAGGCCGGUAGAGGGGGGUGGAAUUCCGGGUGUAGUGGUGAAAUGCGUAGAGAUCCGGAGGAACACCCGUGGCGCAGGCGGCCCCCUGGGCCGCGCCUGACGCUGAGACGCGAAAGCGCGGGGAGCAAACAGG